UACGUAGGGGGCUAGCGUUGUCCGGAAUCAUUGGGCGUAAAGAGCGUGUAGGCGGCCCGGUAAGUCCGCUGUGAAAGUCGGGGGCUCAACCCUCGAAUGCCGGUGGAGUACUGUCGGGCUAGAGUGCGGAAGAGGCGAGUGGAAUUCCUGGUGUAGCGGUGAAAUGCGCAGAUAUCAGGAGGAACACCAAGUGCGAAGGCGG
rnacentral:rRNA from 1 species